GAUGAACGCUGGCGGCGUGCCUAAUACAUGCAAGUCGAGCGAACAGACGAGGAGCUUGCUCCUCUGACGUUAGCGGCGGACGGGUGAGUAACACGUGGAUAACCUACCUAUAAGACUGGGAUAACUUCGGGAAACCGGAGCUAAAACCGGAUAAUAUAUUGAACCGCAUGGUUCAAUAGUGAAAGACGGUUUUGCUGUCACUUAUAGAUGGAUCCGCGCCGCAUUAGCUAGUUGGUAAGGUAACGGCUUACCAAGGCAACGAUGCGUAGCCGACCUGAGAGGGUGAUCGGCCACACUGGAACUGAGACACGGUCCAGACUCCUACGGGAGGCAGCGGUAGGGAAUCUUCCGCAAUGGGCGAAAGCCUGACGGAGCAACGCCGCGUGAGUGAUGAAGGUCUUCGGAUCGUAAAACUCUGUUAUUAGGGAAGAACAAAUGUGUAAGUAACUAUGCACGUCUUGACGGUACCUAAUCAGAAAGCCACGGCUAACUACGUG
rnacentral:rRNA from 1 species